GUUCAUCACUCCAAAGUUUUGGAUAAUGUAUGAUCUGACGGUCAGACAAAGGGGAGUAUCAUUCUUUAUUUCAUCACCCUCUGAUGAGCUUCUCUCUAUCUAGUCUCUGAAUUUUGAAAAAAUCCCAUGAGACUGCAUUCGUAACUCAGAUUCCAAAAUGUCCUAUUAGUUCAUUUUUUCCCCACGGAGUUAGAAAAGACAUAGAUUUCCCAAAGGGAGGGGGGGAAAAAAAAGGUUUGCUUUUGAGAAGCUACAAAAAACUCUUUGCUAUAUCUGAAUAGGUGAUUGAAUAGGUAGCUGUUAGAUCUGCUGCUGUCUUGACUAGGAAAAAUGUCAGCAACGCCACCUUUUAUGCAGGAGUAACACCUGCAAUUUGAUAACAACAGACUGAACAUCUAAUUACCUUGUGUAUGAACUGCAGUGGUUUUACAUCUUUUAUAAGAGAUAUGUGUUAAGAUACUUUUGACAUUUUCCUUCUAGGUUCUUCCAAGUGCAACUCAUCCUGUACAGUAUCUGUCCACACAGAGUUGGAGCAAGAUGCAGAUCUCAGUUCUACCAGUGGAAAUUAGGAGAAACUCCACUGAUAUCUACAAAGUUACGUUAGUGUAAAACUGACCUGAGUGAGAUCAGAAUUAGUCCUUUGUUCUUUACAUCUUUUUGAGAGACCUUUAAUAGUGGUAAAAACUUGAUUAAAAACAUUCAAGAAAAAUUUUAGAGAUGGUCCUGAACCAAAACCCAGAUCCAAACAUCCUUAAAAUGUAAGGAAGCUCAGAUCUAAAUCCCAUCUGUUGGCCAUGGUUAUUUGUGGUUCACCACAUCUUCUUAAUCCAAGAGACAGUGCUCUGUAUAUAGUAUAUUUAGAAUGCAAUAGUGGAAGGGAAAAAAGUAUAAACACUCUGAGGCAGAUCCAUUUGAAAUCAAUGGAGCUAUGCCAGUUUAUACCAUCUGAGGAUUUACCCCUUUGCAUUUAUGUAGUGUGAGUAAAACAAUGCUCAUUUCCCCCCUCAAAGCCAUAGUAGAAAGGGGCUGAGGAGAUUUUGUGUCUGGGCUGGUAAGUUUCCAGGAGAGUUUUGCAAAACUGAAUUAGCACAUGCUGAUCAAACAGUUUAUCAAACCCCUUUAAAUUUACCGGUCCAAAUUGUAACUGGCUCUCCAUAGUGUGCAAAGCGUUGAGAGUUGAGGAUCCAGGAAUCUUCCCCCUCUAUUUUUUCGUGGACAAUGUGGCUGGGGACAACUGAUGCUGCUCCAUGCUAGCACCAGCAGUGGCACUAGCUAUUAGAGGGGUAAAGGAAACGAGGGUGGGACCAUGCCUCACUGCCUCCUGAAUCUGGGCUGCACAGCACACACUGGAUCUAUUUAAAGGGCGGCACAGCCGCUGCAUGCACUCCCCAGGAAGAAUUAUCUCUGAUUCAGGCAGAAAGGGGCAGCAAAGGAUCCCCCAGGGAACACUGGGGUUGCACAAAGCACAAGUAGUCAACUUUACACCACAGGCUGUGCCUCCCCUCCAAUCGCUGGGUAAGAGUGCGCUGGGCAUGGAUAGGUGUGUAUUUUGGGGAAGGUCAGAGUGCAUGGUAUCUCCCAGAUCUUCAGCUGGAACAGCAGCUAACUGCAUUCCUAAGUCUGCUUUCAGUUAUGCCAGUGGGCGUUUUGGCUUCUGGCUAGCUCAGGACUGGGGGGAACAGAAAGGUGGCUUUUAGUUUUAGCCAUACCUCCCACCAGCUGCAAUCCCAGAAUUCCUCUUGGAGACUCCUUUGAUUCAGCCUCACUGCUGUUUCCAUAACACAAGACUGUGUCUUUGGUCCAUGGGUUGUUCUCUUCAAGGACUGGAUAAUAAGGUCUGUAGAUUUACUGUGCAACUCUCCAAUGGAAACAAACUAACAACAACAACAACAGUGUACAAGGCAAGAGGGAGAGUGGAAGAAAUCCCUCAGAUAGAUUUCAUAUGCCAAAUCUAAUACUGAAAUAUAGGUGCUUGUCUAGCACAGGAGCUCUGCUCAGCAGAGCAAUUGUACAAAUUGUCUCUGUCUAACGACAAUAAAAGACCUGAAUCUAUGUAUUUCCAGGGCAAUCUAAAAUCUGAGUUUAAUAUAUUGCACUUUCAUUUCUGGGCCUAAUGCAAUUGUAUAAAAGUCAUUUUGUUUAAAAGAACACUUUGCUGCAGAUACUGAAGUGCAAAGGGAUGGCUUAGAAUGUUGCUGGCCAUUCCUUAGAAGAAGAGUUGGCUAGAGAAAUUCAACUAGGGAAGUUCAUCAACACUUAUUUUUACACUAUGGUAGCAAAUUUCUUAUUCUAUGCUUAUUAUUAUUCUGAUUAUUGCCCCUCUGGCCCAAGCAGUUAGCCAAAAUUUGAGGCCUUGCCGGGUUGCUUCUAUUAGGAUUAGAAAUUGGUGACAUGACAGGUAUAUUCACAAUGUAAUCAUGUUUGUUUUAAAAUGGUGCAAAAAGUCAUUUUUCUCUGCCAGUAGAAACCAAUAUCAACAGACCAUUCCUUGCUCAGAAAUCCCCAAAUCAGCUACUCCAGUGAACUCUGUGCCCAAACAAUCCAUGUCCCUUAGCUUCUUCUCAGGGUCACACUCACAACUGUUUCUCCUGGCUUUCACUGACUCCAACAUACACAGUCUACACCUGCCAUGCCUAAGGCAAUUGCUUGCUCCAUGGAUCCCAGUUGUUUUUACUAAAUAAAGAGCCUUCAUUGCUCCUGUUGAGCCUGAAAGAGUUAUACAUGGCACACCCAUUGGCUUUAAUGAGAUCUGUGAUUGUCUUUGCAUUCAAGACACCUGCUGGUGGCCAUUAGCCCCUUUCAGAAUAACAUUAUAUUGAGUAUUUAUAUUCAAGUAGAACCCAGAGACCCUGAUCAGGAGCUAUAUAAACACAAAGGAAGACCUUCUUCCUACUUCAAGUGAAGGGAUAAAAUCAAAAUAGAAAUACCUUUAUAUCUUAAAGGGCCUCAGUGUGGCCCUUAUUACUUGGCUGAUCUGAUUUUGGAAAUCACCUAAAAAAUCCAGAGGCGUCUUUGAUAUACAAAAACCCUUCAAAAAUCUCUAUGAAGGCUCUGAGAGCCUUCUUUAAGAUGCUGAGUGACCUCAACUCCCACUGAAGUCCACACCUGGCGGGCUGACUUCCUCCCUUCCAUAAAAUAACAACUAAAAAAACAACAACCCACCCUAGACUAAUUAUAAUCUGAGAAAUACAGUGAGGUACAAAUUAAUUGCCAUGCUGUGGGAUAGCCAUGAUGUAGUUACCACUGUUCCCCAAUAGUAAUAUUGCAGCUACUUUAUUGUAAUUCACAGUGAGCCACCAGAAUCUGCAGUCAAUUCACUGUCAAUCCGUGGUAUAUUUCAUGGCUGCUAAUGUGUAUCACCAGGUUAUUUCCUCUCUUCAUCUCUCUCUUCACAGAAUCUUCCUAGCAAGCAAUGUCAAAAUGCUCUGCAACAGUGAAUUUUUAAAAAGUUUGACUCGAGAAGCAGGUGUUAUAGUUAGAUGUAAAUCUUUGUAAGCUCUUCCAAGAAGAACUACAGAAAGGAGAAUUUUGGAGGUGUCAUACCAGGGGAGCAUAGUGUGAUUAACCUAUCAAGUUUUCAUGUGAGGAAUAAAGAAAAGGCCAUAAGAAAUGGAAGGUUAUAUGUCCUGGAAACAAAUUUGGACCCAUCUACCCAUAGCAUUAUUUAAAAGCUGCAGAAUCUUGCACUGAACCUCAUAUUCCACCAAUAACCAGUAUUCAAUACUCAGUAUAGUAGCCAUGUCUUAGAAAUUGGUGAAAGAUCCACAGAUCUGAUACCUUGGAAGGUAUUCCUCAUGAAAGAAAGUGAUAAGGAAUGCAUGUCCCAGAGCUUCAAUGGGCACAGAAAAGAAUAUUGCAAUAAUUUCAUCCGACAUUUCACAUAGUGCCCUUCACUCCACAAUCACCCUGGGGAGGAAUCCCUCCCUAUGAUGGCACAACACUGAAAGAUUCCCCAAAGGCAAUAUACAGAGUCAGUAUGCAAAGACAUAAAUGCACUAUUUCUGGGCUCUGAACUAGAAAAUACGUUUUACUGACUAUCACAGUUUCCCCUCUCUUGAAAGAGCUGCAUUUAUACCUGAAUUCAACAUGGUACCUAAGCAUGUGUGCAACUUUUGGCAUAUGAGCAAUCCCAUUCACAUCCAAGUGUUAUGCAGAUACCUGCACUCUAAAUUGCCCAAGUCUACAAAUGUCCAGCUUAAAAAGAUAUAUAAAAUUGUUUAGAAAAAAGAUUACGAGAGAGAGAGUGGAUUAGUUCAAACUGAUACCACCGUAAGGAUUGUGUUGAGAUCUUGACUGUUGAAUAACAGGAGAAUGGAAACAGAAAUUAAUGGACCAAAACUGAUAUGUUGGGAAUUAGGCCUAAUUUGUGUAAAAAUAAUGAAGGGAUUUGUAGAUUCCCAGGCCAGAAGGGACUACUGUGAUCAUUUAAUCUGAUCAUCUAUAUAACACAGGCCAUAGAAUGUAUCCAAAAUAGUUCCUAGUGCAUAUUUUACUAGGGUUGGUGGUGGAGUCUAACUCUCCAGGGUUUGUGGCCCAGGUCAGUGGAGGAUCCAUGAAGACAAUGGCAAAUCCAAUCAGUGGGACAUUUACUACUUAACAAUUAACAACUCUGGAUGAAGAAAAGGAGUACUCGUGGCACAUUAGAGACUAACAAAUUUAUUAGAGCAUAAGCUUUCGUGGGCUACAGCCCACUUCAUCGGAUGAAUAGAAUGGAACAUAUAGUAAGAACACACACACACACACACAUACAGAGAAGGUGGAAGUUGCCAUACAAACGGUAAGAGGCUAAUUAAUUAAGAUGAACCCAACUCUGGAUGGCCCAUCUUUCCUGGAAGCCAGCCAUGUUUGACCAGCUGGACAACAAAGCAUGAGGAAGGGCCAGGUGAGACUAGCUCAGGAAUUUGAAAAAGAGGACAGAGGGACAGAGCAGAAGCCAAGGGUGGACACUGUUUGGCUGGGGCUCUGGGUAUCCAGAAUGGACCAUGCUAUAACUUUCUUUUCUCUGUGCUGACCAAGAACUUUCUAUGCUGUGAUCCUGACAUCUAAUAAACUCUACUGCUUUUACAACACUGGCUGAGAGUCACUGCAGCUGCUGAAGGUGGCAGUGUUUUGCUCCCUUUGGCUGUACAAGCAGUGGUGGAUUAGCCAUUGGGCCAACGGAGCCCGUGCCCAGGGGGACCAGCCAACUGAGGGUUCCUCCAGAAAAAUGGGUGGCCCUGUGCUCCAACCUGCUCUGCCCAUCGCCGGGGAGUAGGGGAAGCCCCUGCAUCCUGAUCUCACUCCCUGACAGGAGUGCCAGGGGACUGCAGGCAGAAGGGAUAGGGAGGGACCCCCGCUUGCUUUGGUGCAGGGCCCGACAACCUCCUAAUCCGCCUCUGUGUACAAGUCUCUCUCAGGUGCCUAACUCGGGUGGACUGACUGAAGGGAGCUCAUGGUGUGAAGCAGGGGCUCUGAAGGCGCCGAGAUUUAGUCCAAGGGAUCUGGAAGGCCACUUACCUACAUGGCCCAUUACAGAGGAACAUGUGCUGCAGUAAAUGGUAUUGUUAGUAACUCGACAACUGGUGUCCUCAACUAUCUCCAAUCACCUAUCAGCCCUGACAUUUAUGCAGGAAGACAGGCCAGGCAGAUUGUUCUGUGGAUCUGUGGGCACAGUAUUGCUUUCUGGGUACAUAGGCAUGCUUCCAGGUUCACAACUCGGUCUCAGUAAUGAAUCUGUCCUGAGAUGGCAUGGAAGAAGGGGUGUAUUAUGGAACCAGCUGAUGCGCCUUCUGUACACCGUAGUGGCCUGGAACUCUCUGAGAGAGCAGAUGGUCCUGAGUUUCAAGCCAUGAAUCACUGUCAUGGACUCUCUUCAAGCUGUCUUAUAGUACGUGGAGUUGAAAAAC